rnacentral:tRNA from 1 species
GUAGCUCAGCUGGUGGAGCGUACGCUAUACGAAAGCGUAGGCGGCAUCCAUAUGUGGGUUCGAAUCCCACC